GGGUCUGUAGCUCAGGUGGUUAGAGCGCACCCCUGAUAAGGGUGAGGUCGAUGGUUCGAGUCCAUCCAGACCCACCA
rnacentral:tRNA from 2 species